UAGGCAAAAAAAUUUUUUGGGUAUCAGGAGAACAGAAAAAUCGAGGAGGUAUUCCUAGACCUCGGGUGCCUCAUCAUGUGCAUGCAUUCAAUCCUGUAUAUUUAGUUCUAGUACGAUAGAGAAUGCAACUGAUGCCUUGCAAGACUAACUAUAUGCCUGCGUGUGCGUGCAAUCAUUCAUUCAUCGUUCGAUACAAACCGGAACUGAUAAUGUCGAGCUCUAUUAUACCGGCCCUGAAAAUUGGAAGUUUGCCCAAAAGUGGGAAUUUGUAUCAGGAGAACAGGAAACCCGAGGAGGUGUUCCGAGACCCCAUGUGCCUCAUCAUAUGCAUGCGUUCAAUCCUAUGAAUUGAAUCCUACUCCUUUGCCGUAUGAUCAAGUCGUUAUUUGCUCGUUUGCAAGCCUGAUCAUAUGCAUGCAUGUGAAUUCCAUUAUUCGAUCAUGCUUCGGUACAAACCUGUAUUGAUAUUAUGGUGCCCUAGAAAAUCAGAAAAUCGGUACUGAAAAUGCAAGGGCAAGUUUUAACCAAAAAUUCAUUUGGGUAUCAGGUGAACAUGACAAUCAAAAAGGUGUUCCAAGUCAAAGCCUGAUUUCAUGAUGGUUGCUUAUGAAUAAUCCUCAUAUAUGAUAUACUCAAGGGUAUAAUCAAUAAGAAUCAAGUAAUUAAUCUGAAAAUAAUCAGCUCGUUUAUUGAUCAAUCAUCAAGAUAGGAUACAUCCAACAAUUCUUUUAUCAGAAUGUUUAAUACUAUUUCAAAAACGAUCUACAUAUGUUUAUUUAAAAAUUACAAUAUCGCUCUAGUACUUUCAGCGAAUACAAUACAUUAGAAUGUAAUCACUUCUUCACGCGUUAACAAUUAUUUGCCGUGCAUGUAUGUCCAUUGAUUUUCGAAUCGAAAACUAGCGGACGUGAAUACACUUCUCGUUAGAGGUAAGGAGAUGCUCGUCAGUAGGUGUGACCUCAUUAUUUCGGCACUGGUCCCCUUCGGCGAGUUCGUGCGACUGCUGACAUCGCGAAUCGUCAGAUGUCCUUUGAGUACUGGAACAAUAAGAUAUCUCGAUGAGUAUUCGUUCGAGCUUGAUUCGCUGGAGCAAAAUAACGUCACGAAAUAUUCGUACAUACAAUUCACAGCAGAUCCAUUAUUUCACGACUUUCACACGUAAAAAGGCAGAACAACUGAAGACUACAGCUUCUAUCACAAAACGAAAUCUUUUUCUCGCAACGCUAACUAAUCAUGGUGGGAUGGGCGUUGCCGUUGGAGUUGCAGCAAAAAUAAUGUGUUAGAUUGGUGGUAAUUCCUUCUAUACUCGGAACAUAAAAUUCACCGAAGAAAUGCGUGCAAGCGGAAGUAGUUGAAGAGGUCAGCGUUCAACCUAAUUAUACCGAUUCUAAUUUUCGAUUCGAACAACGUAACUCGUGCAGAUUUUAGUGCACGAAAGGGUUUCUCGAGAAUUGCGUAUAACUGUUGCGUAACUACUGAUAUUGCAUUUCGCCGACGGAACUAAGUGGCAUUUGAGCGAUUAAUUUGUGAAGCUGAGUUGAGAAGAACAUCCACUUGGAGGGAUUAUCGCGUAAUAUUCCAGGUAAUGUACAGGUUCUGCGAGGAGAUCGAGCCACACGUGCAAAUGGGGUAGGGGGGGUAUUUCAAAGCUUCACAGUUAGUGACAAACGGGCUUUUCCUUUUACGCGAAACUUUAUGAACGAAGAAAUGUCGGCGGCACUUUCUGCUGAAGCUUUUAGCCUGUAAAAACCCAACUGAUACCGAAGAUGUCAAACUUCUUGCAAACACGAGAUCCCAUGUAAGAAAACUGACGAAGGAUGGUUAUACAUAUAUAUUAUAUACAACACCUACACUUUUGGAGAAAAAUAAAGUGAAAUACUCCAAGUAAUUUUCUCCAACUUUUAUAUCUCGUCGUAAACGAAAGACAACUUGCAAAAAGAAUUCUAUUUUUCCAACAUCUCGUUCGACACCGAUACCCCGAACUUCCGAAUCGCAGCUUAAUCUGCGCUGAACGCACAAUUUUUUCCAAGUUUUACGGGACGAAGAAAACAAUCACUGCGCAACUAUCAGAAAUUCUCGGCAAUAAUUCACGCCACCCAAUCAUUGAUUUACUAUUCAUAGAUAACAAAUUUAUCAUCGAAUGCUCACGCUGCAAUUCGUGUGACGUUACGUGCGGCGU